rnacentral:rRNA from 1 species
UACGUAGGGGGCAAGCGUUGUCCGGAAUCAUUGGGCGUAAAGAGCGUGUAGGCGGCCAGAAAAGUCCGCUGUGAAAACUCGAGGCUCAACUUCGAGCUGUCGGUGGAAACUUUCUGGCUAGAGUCCGGAAGAGGAGAAUGGAAUUCCUGGUGUAGCGGUGAAAUGCGUAGAGAUCGGGAGGAAGGCCGGUGGCGAAGGCGGCGCUCUGGAACAUUUCUGACGCUGAGGCUCGAAAGCGUGGGGAGCAAACAGG